rnacentral:lncRNA from 1 species
CAAUGGCGCCAUCUUGGCUCCCUGCAGCCCCCGCCUCCCGGGUUGAAGGGACUCUCCGGCCUCAGGCCGCGGCGUUUUUGUAAACUGGAACCGGCCUGUGCGCCAAGCGCGGCUCCCGCGGCUGCGGAGAGAGGCCCAGCAGGGGGCGGGGACGCCGCGAGGCGGGGCCUGGCCGAGCUGCGCACGCCCGGGUGGUUCUGGCUACGGGUACCCGGACCUGCCCAACGACAGUUCUCCAUUCCCGACCUCCGCACCCUACCCGGUCCGCAGGGCACUUUCCUCCUCUCUCCCAGGCACGUCCUCGACCUCAGUUGCCACGUGCACAUGCUGGUGCCUUCCAGGUCGGUCUUUCUCCACCAGUCUCCACCUGCAACUUUCUUCCUUUUCGUCCUGUGCUGGCCUAACCCCUGCUCGGCCUCGGCCCUCAGCUGCCGGCUCUAACAAUGCCUCUGUCUUUCCGAGACCCCCGUGACCAGCUCAGGCUCUGCUCCCUGCGUUCCUCUCUCCUCGCUUCCCUCCCCGCCUCCCCGGGGCUUCCCCAUCAGUGUGGAUUCCGACCUCAUAAGGACCAGUCUAACGCUCUCUGCUGGAUGGAAGCGCAAAACGGACCCUCUCACUCUUGCCUUAUCCCCAGCACCAAGGAGGGGCUCAGAGUGGGACUGGUGGCUUCUUAAGAAGAGAAAGAGACCUGAGGAAGCACACUGAACCCCUCACCAUAUGAUGCCCUGUACCACCCCGAGACCGCAGCGUCCCCACCAGCAAGAAGGUACUCAUGACAUGUGACCCCUUGACCUUGGACUUGUCAGCCUCUAGAGCUGUAAGAAAUAAAUUCUUUUUCUUUAUAAACUGUCCAGUUUCAGGUAUUCUGUUAUAAGCAACAGAAAACAAAGUAAGAUAGGCACCUAGGCUUUGCCAUCCCCUAACGUCCUAAGAAAGGGGAAAGAAAAUGGGGGCGCAUGAAGAGGACAUAGUCAUGGACCUAGCAUGUAAGUAACAGAUGGUUAUGCUCACCUUCCUUUGGAGAGGCCUGAGUCGCACAGCCUCACCCAACUACAAAGCCUGGAAAGUGUAGUCUAGUUAAUGUGCCCACAGAUAGGGGAAUACAGAGGCUAGCAGGUAGCUAGUGGUCUUCACCACUGUGGUAGCCAGAAUAAUGGCCCCCGAAAGAUGUCCACAUCCUACUCCCUGGAAUCUGCGAAUAUGUAUUGCAUGGCAGAAGGAACUUUAUG